rnacentral:rRNA from 1 species
CAGCCGCCGCGGUAAUACCGGCGGCCCGAGUGGCGGUCACUAUUAUUGGGCUUAAAGCGUCCGUAGCCGGGUUGGGAAGUCCUCCGGGAAAUCUGGCCGCUUAACGGUCAGAAUGCCGGAGGAUACUCCCAGCCUAGGGGGCGGGAGAGGCCGAGGGGAUUCCCGGGGUAGGGGGGAAAUCCUAUAAUCCCGGGAGGACCACCUGGGGCGAAGGCGCUCGGCUGGAACGCGUCCGACGGGGAGGGACGAAGGCCAGGGGAGCAAACCGGAUUAGAUACCCGGGUAGUCCUGGCUGUAAACGAUGCGGACUUUGUGUCGGACAAGCUAUGAGCUUGUCCGGUGCCGGAGGGAAACCGUUAAGUCCGCCGCCUGGGGAGUACGGCCGCAAGGCUGAAACUUAAAGGAAUUGGCGGG